rnacentral:rRNA from 1 species
UACGGAGGAUCCAAGCGUUAUCCGGAAUCAUUGGGUUUAAAGGGUCCGUAGGCGGUUUAGUAAGUCGGAUGUGAAAUCCCCAGGCUCAACUUGGGAACUGCAUCCGAUACUGGAUGGCUUGAAUUCGGGAGAGGGAUGCAGAAUUCCAGGUGUAGCGGUGAAAUGCGUAGAUAUCUGGAGGAAUACCGGUGGCGAAGGCGGCAUCCUGGACCGACAUUGACGCUGAGGAGCGAAAGCGUGGGUAGCGAACAGG